rnacentral:rRNA from 1 species
AUGAUCUGGGACAUCCGACUUCCGCUGAAAAUCAGGAUCUUCCUGUGGCAAUGGAUCCGUGGACGCCUCCCCUCUGGGGUUGAAGUCCUCAAGCGUAAUGGCCCGGGCGAUGGGAUGUGCCCUAUCUGUGGCACGAUGGAGGAUGCUAACCACAUCUUUUUCUCGUGCCACUCUGCCCAGUUCCUUUGGGCCUGCUUCUGCAAAACGGUUGGCGGACAGUGGUGUAAUACCAACUUCCCCGACAUGCUUGCCGAACUUAACGCUUCCCCUACUCGCUACCGCCAUAUUAGAUGGCUGUGCGUUGGGGUUCUCGCCUGGAUGCUUUGGAACAUUCGCAAUAAGCUUGUUAUUCAGAAGGUGCCUCUCUGA